CAACCNGCCGACAACACUGGGAUAGCCUUUCGAAAGAAAGAUUAAUACCGGAUGGCAUAGUUUUCCCGCAUGGGAUAAUUAUUAAAGAAUUUCGGUUGUCGAUGGGGAUGCGUUCCAUUAGGCAGUUGGCGGGGUAACGGCCCACCAAACCAACGAUGGAUAGGGGUUCUGAGAGGAAGGUCCCCCACAUUGGAACUGAGACACGGUCCAAACUCCUACGGGAGGCAGCAGUGAGGAAUAUUGGUCAAUGGACGAGAGUCUGAACCAGCCAAGUAGCGUGAAGGAUGACUGCCCUAUGGGUUGUAAACUUCUUUUAUACGGGAAUAAAGUUAGCCACGUGUGGCUUUUUGUAUGUACCGUACGAAUAAGGAUCGGCUAACUCCGUGCCAGCAGCCGCGGUAAUACGGAGGAUCCAAGCGUUAUCCGGAUUUAUUGGGUUUAAAGGGAGCGUAGGUUGACAUAUAAGUCAGCUGUGAAAGUUUACGGCUCAACCGUGAAAUUGCAGUUGAUACUGUAUGUCUUGAGUGUACAAGAGGUGGGCGGAAUUCGUGGUGCAGCGGUGAAAUGCUUAGAUAUCACGAAGAACUCCGAUUG
rnacentral:rRNA from 1 species